AUUGAACGCUGGCGGCAGGCCUAACACAUGCAAGUCGAACGAGUGGCGGACGGGUGAGUAAUGUCUGGGAAACUGCCUGAUGGAGGGGGAUCACUACUGGAAACGGUAGCUAAUACCGCAUACCAUCGGAUGUGCCCAGAUGGGAUUCGCGAGUAGGUGGGGUAACGGCUCACCUAGGCGACGAUCCCUAGCUGGUCUGAGGGGAUGACCAGCCAAACGGGAACUGAGACACGGUCCAGACUCAUACGGUAGGCAGCAGUGGGGAAUAUUGCACAAGGGGCGCAAGCCUGAUGCAGCCAAGCCGCGUGGGGGAAGAAGGCCUUCGGGUUGUAAAGCACUUUCAGCGGGGAGGCGUUACCCGCAGAAGAAGCACCGGCUAACUCCGUGCCAGCAGCCGCGGUAAUAC
rnacentral:rRNA from 1 species